GAUGAACGCUGGCGGCGUGCCUAAUACAUGCAAGUCGAGCGAACGGACGAGAAGCUUGCUUUUCUGAUGUUAGCGGCGGACGGGUGAGUAACACGUGGAUAACCUACCUAUAAGACUGGGAUAACUUCGGGAAACCGGAGCUAAUACCGGAUAAUAUUUUGAACCGCAUGGUUCAAAAGUGAAAGGCGGUCUUGCUGUCACUUAUAGAUGGAUCCGCGCUGCAUUAGCUAGUUGGUAAGGUAACGGCUUACCAGGGCAACGAUGCAUAGCCGACCUGAGAGGGUGAUCGGCCACACUGGAACUGAGACACGGCACAGACUCCUACGGGAGGCAGCAGUAGGGAAUCUUCCGCAAUGGGCGAAAGCCUGACGGAGCAACGCCGCGUGAGUGAUGAAGGUCUUCGGAUCGUAAAACUCUGUUAUUAGGGAAGAACAUAUGUGUAAGUAACUGUGCACAUCUUGACGGUACCUAAUCAGAAAGCCACGGCUAACUACGU
rnacentral:rRNA from 1 species